rnacentral:rRNA from 1 species
CAGUCGCCGCGGGAAUACGUAGGUGGCAAGCGUUGUCCGGAAUUAUUGGGCGUAAAGGGCUCGCAGGCGGUUUCUUAAGUCUGAUGUGAAAGCCCCCGGCUCAACCGGGGAGGAUCAUUGGAAACUGGGAAACCUGAGUGCAGAAGAGGAGUGUGGAAUUCCACGUGUAGCGGUGAAAUGCGUAGAGAUGUGGAGGAACACCAGUGGCGAAGGCGACUCUCUGGUCUGUAACUGACGCUGAGGAGCGAAAGCGUGGGGAGCGAAUAGGAUUAGAUACCCCAGUAGUCCCUGUCUCUUAUAC